rnacentral:rRNA from 1 species
GACAGGUGAUGCAAGCGUUAUCCGGAAUGAUUGGGCGUAAAGCGUCUGUAGGUGGUUUAUCCAGUCUGUUGUUAAAACUUAGGGCUUAACCCUAAUCCGGCAACAGAAACUAAUAGACUAGAGUACGGUAGGGGCAGAGGGAAUUCUCGGUGUAGUGGUGAAAUACGUAGAUAUCGAGAAGAACACCAAUAGCGAAAGCACUCUGCUGGGCCGAAACUGACAUUCAGAGACGAAAGCUAGGGGAGCGAAAAGG